CCUACGGGGGGCAGCAGUGGGGAAUAUUGCACAAUGGGCGCAAGCCUGAUGCAGCCAUGCCGCGUGUGUGGAGAAGGCCUUCGGGUUGUAAAGCACUUUCAGCGGGGAGGAAGGCGUUAAGGUUAAUAACCUUGGCGAUUGACGUUACCCGCAGAAGAAGCACCGGCUAACUCCGUGCCAGCAGCCGCGGUAAUACGGAGGGUGCAAGCGUUAAUCGGAAUUACUGGGCGUAAAGCGCACGCAGGCGGUCUGUCAAGCCGGAUGUGAAAUCCCCGGGCUCAACCUGGGAACUGCAUUCGAAACUGGCAGGCUAGAGUCUUGUAGAGGGGGGUAGAAUUCCAGGUGUAGCGGUGAAAUGCGUAGAGAUCUGGAGGAAUACCGGUGGCGAAGGCGGCCCCCUGGACAAAGACUGACGCUCAGGUGCGAAAGCGUGGGGAGCAAACAGAAUUAGAUACCCUUGUAGUC
rnacentral:rRNA from 1 species